AAUUCUUAGGAACUUAUUGUAGAACAUAUGGCUAACCGAGGACAAAAGUUGACACCUUACCAAGGAAAGAAGAGGGCAUUUGGUGAAUUUGAGUGUUAUUGUAGCAAUACCUGGAGUAGUGCUUAUACUUAUGCUAAUACAUGGCAAAAGUGUGAGGUGUGCAAAAGGAAAAUUUAUCCUUAUCGUCAAUACCCACUACGACGUGGCAGAAAUAAUUCAAGAAGACCUCAUCAGAGGGGUCUGUGUGGAAAAUGCAAGCAACUUGGAUAUGACUGUAGCAAAUGAAGUCUAAAUGAUAUAAGAAGCAUUUGACACCACAUAUAGUAGAAUAAUGUGCUUUGUCAUCAAUUAUAAACAUGAUUGUGUUUAUAAUUGUACUUUUGAGUAAACAUUAUUCAUUCUUUCCUUCACUAAACUGUUUAUACAGUAAGACAAUCAA